rnacentral:lncRNA from 12 species
GGAGUCUCCGGAGUCGCUGGAGUCGUCGCCGCUGCCGCCGCGCGGCCCCACGCAGGCCGACCCCCGCCUCUCGGCCCUGCCUUCCCCGCCCGGGCUCGCGCGGCUGCUCGGGGCGCGGGGACGCAGCGGAGGCACGGCGGCGGCCGGUGGAACCCGGGGGCGGGCAGGCUUAGCGGCGCGCGGCCCGCAGCGGCCCCUCAGCUGGCGCUGUAUGGGCACCGAGCGCGCCCUGGGAACGGCUCCGGCCUAGACGCCCCGCAGGCCCGCCCGCCGCCGCCGCCGCCGCAGCGCGCCCCCUGCCGGCCCGGCGGCCGCUUCCUCCCCGGCGGUGGUUGCGCAGCGCCCGAGGGCUGUUCGGUCACCUACCCGCCCCCGCCCCCGCCCUCCGCCUGGAGCGGAAAAGGGCUUGGGGCCCAGCCCCCAACCCGGGCUCUUUCUGGGGGAGCGCGUUUCUUCCUGAAGGCCCGCACCUACUGGACCUAAGAACAGUGAACAAUGAAUCCCAGUAACUUGAACAGAUCCUGGCUUAGUAACCCCUGGAGAGAAAAAGUAGAAAUGAAACAUUAGCGUAGCAUAGGUAAGUGUAGGUAAGAUUCUCCCUCCUUAUAUGAGAGUAUGUGUGAUUUUUCAGAAUCUUGGUUUCUCUUUUUUAUUUUUUUUAAGAUUUAUUUAUUUAUUCAUUCAGAGAGAGAGAGAGAGAGAGAGGCAGAGACACAGGCAGAGGGAGAAGCAGGCCCCAUGCAGGAAGCCCUAUGCGGACUUGAUCCUGGGUUUCCAGGAUCACACCCCAGGCUGCAGGCGGCACUAAACCUCUGCACCACCAGGGCUGCCCAGAAUCUUGGUUUCUCUUAACCACAUAUUUAAAAAGGACUGGUCAUAUAUAUUUUCAUUUAAGUGUAUACAGUGCUUCUCUCUCUCUCUCUCUCUCUUUUUAUGGUGCUUCUCAGUGAAAUGAGAAAGGCAGUUUUCCACCUGGUUCUGGGAUUUGACAUCCUUUAUUUGCUUCUUUUCAAGAAGGUAAUAAAAACAAUUGCUAACUUAUGUUAAAUGCUUAC